GUGGGAUUAGCGCAGUUGGCUAGCGCGUCAGGUUGUGGCCCUGAAGGUCGUGGGUUCGAGCCCCAUAUCUCACCCCA
rnacentral:tRNA from 1 species